CAAUGGAAGAGACAGCGGUACGCCCACGCAGCCGGCUGGGACGGAAAGUACCCUCUCUGCCACUCCGAAAGACGGCGCGGACGUAAAUCCUUCGGCUAUACUAGGCGAGAGUCCAUAUUUUCUCUAAAUGUGUUUCUCUUCUAUUUCCCGUCAAAGAGAGAGAGAGAGAGAGAGAGAGAGAGAUUUUCAGGUCUCCUUUAUUGGCGGUGGGAGGGAAGCAGACUGAGAUAUCUCAAAAAAUACCCAGCUAUUUAUCUUCUGAUGCAUAACAGGUUCUAGGGGUGCAGCUGGUAGAUCUUGGCCAUGGAGACAGCUUGUUGUUCCAGGAGACCACACCCUCCUGUCCUUCCAUCUCUUCAUCGCUGGGGUCUGUCAGGAGUGGAACACACAGUCCCAUUGGCCACUGAUAUCGUCAUAGAAAGACUUCAGCUCAGCACAGCCGAAACCCUCCUAGAUGUUUUGCCGCUUCCUGCUUGUGGGAGUUUGUGAUCCCAGCAGUGGCACCCAUGGAAACAGCCCGCAGCAAUGUGACCAGAGGGAGGACAGCGCGGCUCCCGCUAGGCCUGUUAGGGACGGAGAUCUCCGCCUGCUCUGUCACUCCUGCAGCUCUGGAGAUUCCACCGGUCUCCAUGGUGACCCGCUGGGAUUCCAGAUUCCUCCAGCUGUGCUGAUGGAUUUUCUACGUUCUCCCGUUUUGCAGUGUCCAUAGUGUUUGUCCAGCCCAUUGACUUUCUGUCGCUGAGCAGUGAUUUAUCCUUUACAAUUACAUCUUUAAACGAGUCUGACAGCACUACAGUCAGCCACAAUCAGACUCUCAGAGCACAGCGACACCCAAAGUACCAUCUCACUUUCGCAAGAGCAUUCAAAUCGUUUGGGUUGUUUGGUAAUUGUGUUAGACCAUAAUAAAGUCAGGUGGCUGUCUAUAGAGAGCGUUAGAUGACAGUAUCAUUUCUGUCCCUCAUCUGGGAUGCUGACUCCCCCUGGGAAGGGACGGAUUAUGGGUUGUGUGGGCCCCUGGGCAAAAAGUUCGCGAGCCCCCCCCCCCCCACCACCACCACCACAACCACCACAAUUCAAGGGCCCUUGGCAGCCAAACACCCUCCCUAUAGGGUCAGGGGCCCUUGUAGGCAGAGGAUCAAAGAAUGUAGGCCCUCUAAAAUAGACAACCCUAACCCUAACCCUCUAAAAUAGACAAACGAAAAUACAUUGUUGAUAAGCGUUGCAAAUUGUUUUGGGCUAGGGGCCCCACGGGCCCCCUGCACCCCAAGGGCCCCUGGCCAGCGGCCUAGCUGGCCCGGUCCGAAAUCCGUCCCUGCCCCUGGGACCAGCUUCUUCCACUGCUGUUCCAUAGCCACUCAGGCAGCCUACUGAAUAACGCAAUCAAAUUUAAAAUGACUAAUGCUGAUCCUCACACUGAAAUGUCCGUAAUCCCCGUCUGUGUUUUUAUUUUAACUGCUUUUCGCGAUCAAACUAUCAUAACCUUCUCCGCGACUUGAUAGCGGCUGAUUUAAGUGGGUUUGUAACAGGUAGCGAUCCCAUCUGAUUAUCUCUUUAUCCUCUCUUAACCCUGAAAGAAAGGAGAACAAAGGGAGCCGGAGAACUUUGGCCGAUGUUAAUUUACGCUUCUCUUAGGAAACGCGGCCGGUGUGAGUGGCACGCAUUACCGCGUUAAUGAGAGCGCACCUGAAGUCUCAGAGCUAGUCCAGCCUUGUAUUUAUCGCCGAGCUAUUAUGUAGAAAUACUGCAGAAGUAAAAGCUCUUAUAGAAUUGAAACCGCUGCGGCGCGCAUCUGUCACGGCUCUCCGCCUCAUGAUGUAUUCUUGUUAAGCCUCCUUAGUGAACGUUACUUCGCCUGGUAAAGACUGGCGAUUUACUACCUGACUGGAUCACGCCUUCUGCACAACCCCACCACUUACCAUCUCACAGUUGUGCAGUCACAGAAAUAAACUAUGACCUAUUUGUCUAUAUAAGUAGUUUAUUUGUAUAACUUCACCUGUCUCCGUGCCCGAGUCUUUCAGUAGCUCACGCUGUCCCGGCUGUUUACCUAGAGACGUGACAUUAACCCUUAACACACAUAUCUUUAGGUCUUUUGUCUCGCUUUUAUGUAGUUCUGCCUCGCGUUCUGGUUCACCCUCUCCUACCACUAACACAGAAACAGCUAGCUCUGGUUGACAUCAAUCAGCAAUCAUGGAAUAAAGAGAUAAAAAAACAAAGUGACCAAUGUGUACUGUAUGAAGUUUAUGUCGUUUAGGCUGAGCUUUUAUCCGGACGAUCCAGGGGAAGGAAAAUCCGGUAACGGUAACAUAUACGCCCUCCCGAGGCCUAUAGGCCAUUCAAAGACGCGAUCUAUCCGAAUCGCCUGUUUUUGGAUUAGGGGAGGAGUCCCACGCGACA